UACGAAGGGGGCUAGCGUUGCUCGGAAUCACUGGGCGUAAAGCGCACGUAGGCGGAUUGCUAAGUCAGGGGUGAAAUCCUGGAGCUCAACUCCAGAACUGCCUUUGAUACUGGCGACCUUGAGUCCGGGAGAGGUGAGUGGAACUGCGAGUGUAGAGGUGAAAUUCGUAGAUAUUCGCAAGAACACCAGUGGCGAAGGCGGCUCACUGGACCGGUUCUGACGCUGAGGCGCGAAAGCGUGGGGAGCAAACGGG
rnacentral:rRNA from 1 species